rnacentral:rRNA from 1 species
AUUGAACGCUGGCGGCAGGCCUAACACAUGCAAGUCGAGCGGCAGCGGGAAAGUAGCUUGCUACUUUUGCCGGCGAGCGGCGGACGGGUGAGUAAUGCCUGGGAAAUUGCCCAGUCGAGGGGGAUAACAGUUGGAAACGACUGCUAAUACCGCAUACGCCCUACGGGGGAAAGCAGGGGACCUUCGGGCCUUGCGCGAUUGGAUAUGCCCAGGUGGGAUUAGCUAGUUGGUGAGGUAAUGGCUCACCAAGGCGACGGUCCCUAGCUGGUCUGAGAGGAUGAUCAGCCACCCUGGAACUGAGACACGGGCCAGACUCCUACGGGAGGCAGCAGUGGGGAAUAUUGCACAAUGGGGGAAACCCUGAUGCAGCCAUGCCGCGUGUGUGAAGAAGGCCUUCGGGUUGUAAAGCACUUUCAGCGAGGAGGAAAGGUCAGUAGCUAAUAUCUGCUGACUGUGACGUUACUCGCAGAAGAAGCACCGGCUAACUCCGUGCCAGCCGCCGCGGUAAGAC